rnacentral:rRNA from 1 species
GACGUAGGGCGCGAGCGUUGUCCGGAUUUAUUGGGCGUAAAGAGCUCGUAGGCGGCUUGUCGCGAUCGUUCGUGAAAACUUGGGGCUCAACCCCAAGCUUGCGGUCGAUGCGGGCAGGCUGGAGUUCGGUAGGGGAGACUGGAAUUCCUGGUGUAGCGGUGGAAAUGACGCAGAUAUCAGGAGGAACACCGGUGGCGAAGGCGGGUCUCUGGGCCGAUACUGACGCUGAGGAGCGAAAGCGUGGGGAGCGAACAGG